AUACGAACUGGCGCCGGGCAGUUGUCAUCGCGGUCAUAUAAAUCCACAGCAUAAUCAGGCUGCAUGAGGCGCAGGUGUGCACCCUCCAAUCAGCGCACCUGCGCGGACACCCGCACAGCUCGUGCUGAAGCGGCAGGAUCAUGACAGGUGUGACCUUAGGCAGUUCAUGCUAGAAAACCCUCCAAUAUGGUGGAGUUGAAAAAAAUUCUGCAAAGGGUCGUGGGAGUGCUGGAUCCUAUUCCAGCUAACUUCAGGCAGACCACAUCCUGAACUAGUUACAACUCACCAAUCCGUUGCAGGACACAUGCGACACCAUCACAAAGUGGGAAUCGAUCCCUCGCCGCCCGCAUCAAAGUCAGGAUUGAUUGAUUUGUACUACUUUUUAAAACGGCCCAGCAUUUCAUUAAAUUCUGCUUUGUCAACAUG